GGGUGAAAAGGGUUUGGGCCUGACUCUUAAUCAGUAGGUUCAAGGUUCGAGUCCUUGAUGGCCCACCA
rnacentral:tRNA from 1 species